rfam:Neosartorya fischeri NRRL 181 1099437635579 genomic scaffold, whole genome shotgun sequence.
GGGGUUAUAGUUUAACUGGUAAAACGGCGAUUUUGCAUAUCGUUAUUUCAGGAUCGAGUCCUGAUUACUCCA